rnacentral:rRNA from 1 species
UACGUAGGGGGGCUAGCGUUGUCCGGAAUCAUUGGGCGUAAAAGCGUGCGCAGGCGGUUCGUUAAGUUCGUUGUGAAAGCCCCCGGGCUCAACCUGGGAACUGCAAGGAAACUGGCGGGCUUGAGUGCGGCAGAGGGGGGGUGGAAUUCCGCGUGUAGCAGUGAAAUGCGUAGAGAUGCGGAGGAACACCGAUGGCGAAGGGCAGCCCCCCUGGGGCCGACACUGACGCUCAGGCACGAAAAGCGUGGGGGAGCAAACAGG